rnacentral:rRNA from 1 species
AUACCGGGCCUUUUUGGGCUUGGUAAUUGGAAUGAGGGAGAGUUAAACGGACCAUCGAGUAUCCAUUGGAGGGCAAGUCUGGUGCCAGCAGCUGCGGUAAUACCAGCUCCAAUAGCGUAUAUUAAAGUUGUUGCAGUUAAAAAGCUCGUAGUUGGACUUGUGUGCGCUGUCCGCGGGUGGCCUGCGCCCAAAAGGGCGUUUCGGUUCGGCCCCGGUGGCGCCUUGAAAUCUGCAGCUGGGGGGACGUUGGCCUUAACUGGUCGACGACCGCACGCCGGCUGCUCGGUUACUGUGAGAAAAUUAGAGUGUUCAAGGCAGGCAUUGGGUGCAAUUGAAUACAUUAGCAUGGAAUAAUAAAAUAUGGCUCCUGCCGUAUUUUGUUGGUUUUGACUGGUGGGAGUAAUGAUUGAUAGGGACGGUUGGGGGUGCUAGUAUUGAGCGGCCAGAGGUGAAAUUCAUGGAUUCGCUCAAGACUAACUUAUGCGAAAGCAUUCACCAAGGACGUCCUCUUUAAUCAAGAACGAAAGUUGGGGGAUCGAAGACGAUCAGAUACCGUCGUAGUCUCAACCAUAAACUAUGUCGACUUGGGAUCGGCGGUAGUUUUUUCAUUAAGACACUGUCGGGACCACGGGAGAAAUCAAAGUGUCUGGACUCUGGGGGAAGUAUGGUCGCAAGGCUGAAACUUGAAGGAAUUGGCGGAAGGGCACCACCAGGAGUGGAGCCUGCGGCUUAAUUUGACCCAACACGGGGAAACUUACCAGGUCCAGAGAUAUAGAGGAUUGACAGAUUGAAGCUCUUUCUUGAUCACUUCGGUGGUGGUGCAUGGCCGUUCUUAGUUGGUGGAGUGAUUUGUCUGGUUAAUUCCGUUAACGAACGAGACCUCAGCCUGCUAGUGUAGUCGGCUGGAUUGCCUUUGGCGAUCCGUGAUUUCGACUUCUUAGAGGGACAAUCGACGCGCAGUCGAUGGAAGUUUGAGGCAAUAACAGGUCUGUGAUGCCCUUAGAUGUUCUGGGCCGCACGCGCGCUACACUGCUGGGCUCAGCGAGUUUUACUUGGCCGAGAGGCCCGGUUAAUCUUGUGAAAUCCCAGCGUGCUUGGGCUCGCCUCCUGCAACUGGAGGCGCCAACGAGGAAUUCCUAGUAGACGCAGGUCAUCAACCUGCAUCGAUUACGUCCCUGCCCUUUGUACACACCGCCCGUCGUUCCAUAAGAGUGAGGCAUCCGGUGAAUUCUCGGGAGAGCCUGGGCGUGGCCAGCAAUGGUCUGCUCGGGUUUGAACUUGCAUAAACUUGGUGCCUAUGAUUAGGG